GUUGGUAUUUAUUAAGGUGAGGGUCCACCCGUUCCCAUUCCGAACACGGAAGUUAAGCUCAUCAUUGCCGAAAAUACUUGGUUGGAAGCGACCUGGAAAAAUAGGUAAAUGCCAACA
rnacentral:rRNA from 1 species